rnacentral:misc_RNA from 1 species
UCCGGUUUGUCACCGGCAGUCUCAUUAGAGUGCCCAACUUAAAUGUAGCAACUAGGGACAAGGGUUGCGCUCGUUGCGGGACUUAACCCAACAUCUCACGACACGAGCUGACGACAGCCAUGCAGCACCUGUGUUCCCGUUCCCUUUCGGGCACAGCCCACUUUCGAGGGCCUCCAGGACAUGUCAAGGGUAGGUAAGGUUAUUCGCGUUGCAUCGAAUUAAUCCACAUCAUCCACCGCUUGUGCGGGUCCCCGUCAAUUCCUUUGAGUUUUAAUCUUGCGACCGUACUCCCCAGGCGGGAUGCUUAUCGCGUUAGCUUCGGCACGACAGGAUUGGGUACCUGUCACACCAAACAUCCAUCGUUUAGGGCUAGGACUAC